CCCUUAGAUGUCCUGGGCCGCACGCGUGCUACACUGACGCCUACAGCGAGUACUUCCCAGCCCCGAGAGGUGGCUGGUAAUCAGCAAUAGGCGUCGUGAUGGGGAUAGAUCUUUGGAAUUAUGGAUCUUGAACGAGGAAUGCCUGGUAAGCGCAGGUCAUUAGCCUGCGCUGAUUAAGUCCCUGCCCUUUGUACACACCGCCCGUCGCUCCUACCGAUUUCGAGUGGUCCGGUGAAUCUUUCGGACUGCGCGCGGCCUCGUGCCGUGUCGCGGAAAGUCAGGUAAACCUUAUCACUUAGAGGAAGGAGAAGUCGUAACA
rnacentral:rRNA from 1 species